UGGAGUCUUCUGCCCCACACACAUGACUCUUCCAGUCGAAGUGUCAUUCUACAGUGUUUCAGAUGAUAAUGCACCCUCUCCCUAUAUGGAUUAUUUCAUAUAGUGGUUUUCAAGUCAUGCAGUGGAUUCUGGUGUCCCAUGGAUGUCUAGAAACCCUUGCUUGUUUUAUUAGCUGGACUUCAUUGUUCUGAUUCUUCUCCACAUGCUGUAAAUAAUCAUGUAAUGUUAUGGUUGUGCAUCACAGAACUAGUACAACAUUUAUCUAAUGCAGUGGUUCCCAAACUGGGGUUCAUAAACCCCGGGGGUUUGCGAAAUGUUACAGGGUUUCUCGGGGA